CACGCGAAGCACGGCGGGGGCGGGGGUACUGGGAGAGAACCGAGCGAUGUGGCCCUUCCCAAGUCCGAAGUCUCCCUCCCCAGGUUUCCCUCCCCGCGCCCCGAUCAGAGUUUGCGAGAUCUGGGGAGGCGCUGGGGCAGAAGCCGCCGACGUGGAGGGAUUUUCGGAAGGUGGGGUGGAAGAGUGAGGAAAGACAAUUCCCGAUUGCCUCCCCCGCUUGGGCGAUGCUUUCCUCCAACCCACCAUCCAGGCCUCCCGGGCAAGGGCCCAGCCUGGCCAGCUGGAGCGGAUUUGGGCGAAGGAGGAAAAGGGGGCUCCCAAACCCUCCCCGGUUUCCCUCCGCCGCCCUCCCUGAUUGGCUGUGCGUCCCCGGAGCCCAACUUCUGUCACUCCAGACUCAGUCUGAGCCCCAAGGGAGCUGGAGUGCAGCGACCCGGGGCGGCCGCGAAUCCAAGGGUCAGCGUCAGUGGGGCCCCUGGGGGGAGGGGCGCGGACGGGGUCGGCCCCCGCAGCCUUUGCCAGGCCCAGCUCUCCGCGUCUCGCGGCCUCGGCUCCUCUCCGCCCCCCGCCCUUUCCUUCCCUCCCAGCAGCGGCCUCCCUCCUCCUCCGCCACCCCCAACCCCGCCCGCCACCUCCCCCCGGUUUCUCAUUCCUGCCACUAGCGCGCUCGGCGGCUCAUUCCGCGGCCGCCGCCAGCCGAGGGGAGCGUCGCGAGCAGAUGCCGCGGGGGCCGCUCGCAGCCGCCGCCGACUUGUGAAUGGGACCCGGACUGGGGCCGGGGUUGACACCGCUGCGCUCGCCUUGCGCCAGGGAUCGACGGCCCCGAGCUCGCACCCACCCUCCAGGGCCCCAGAAAGAGCAUCAUUUGAGACUCCGAGGGGAAGCGAAUGAAUAAAGAAGAGAAAUAUUAGUGAGAUUACUGUGGUAUCAUUGCCUUUUCUUUCAAGAGGUUUUGAAGACGUCUGCAAGACCUUUCUAAUUUGCAGAAACGAAAAGCAGAUUGAUCUUUGGUAAAUACUUCGGGGCAUGGAGUUUUAAUGUAACUGUAAAUGUUUUACUGUUACCUUUAAACCAUUCUUGAUAUUGCUGUAAAAAAAAACCCUAAAUUUAGCAGAGAGUAAAAUUUAAUUCAAGAUUGGUCUUUGACUUUUUUUUUUCCUCCUCAGUGUUAUGGAAAUUACUGCUAAUGAUUAAAUUGCGUAUUUUAGGUUGUACCAAAUUUGUAUUUGUUGCUGUUUGAUAGUGUUAUUAUGAAAGUUCAGAAGAAUAAUGUAAAAAAACACGAAUGCUAUAUUGUAAUUAAGAGGAAAGCUCUAUUAAAAAAUAAGUACUGUC
rnacentral:lncRNA from 1 species